rnacentral:rRNA from 1 species
UCAGCUGAGGGUUAGUCGGGACCUAACGCGAACCCGAAAGGGGUAGUGGAUGGACAAUGGGUUAAUAUUCCCAUACUUGCUCACACUAAAAAGGGGACGGUUCGAUGUAGCUAUUGAAGACGGACGGAAGUGUCAAGGCUUAGCCUUCGGGCGAAGCUGUUAUAGUGUAAUCGGAUCCAAGAAAAGCCGAAGUGAAGCAACCCGUACCAAAACCGACACAGGUGGUCGAGGAGAGAAUCCUAAGGUGCUCGAGUGAGUCGUG